GACGAACGCUGGCGGCGUGCCUAAUACAUGCAAGUCGAGCGGAGGGAAGGAAGCUUGCUUCCUAAAGUCAGCGGCGGACGGGUGAGUAACACGUGGGCAACCUGCCCCUAAGAUCGGGAUAACUUCGGGAAACCGGAGCUAAUACCGGAUAUGAUUAUGUCUCACAUGAGACAUAAUGGAAAGACGGUUUCGGCUGUCACUUAGGGAUGGGCCCGCGGCGCAGUAGCUAGUUGGUGAGGUAACGGCUCACCAAGGCGACGAUGCGUAGCCGACCUGAGAGGGUGAUCGGCCACACUGGGACUGAGACACGGCCCAGACUCCUACGGGAGGCAGCAGUAGGGAAUCUACCGCAAUGGACGAAAGUCUGACGGAGCAACGCCGCGUGAGUGAAGAAGGUUUUCGGAUCGUAAAACUCUGUUGUUAGGGAAGAACAAGUACCAUAGUAACUGAUGGUACCUUGACGGUACCUAACCAGAAAGCCACGGCUAACUACGUGCCAGUCGCCGCAGUAACAC
rnacentral:rRNA from 1 species